UACGUAGGGUGCGAGCGUUAAUCGGAAUUACUGGGCGUAAAGCGUGCGCAGGCGGUGAUGUAAGACAGGGGUGAAAUCCCCGGGCUUAACCUGGGAACUGCAUUUGUGACUGCAUCGCUGGAGUACGGCAGAGGGGGAUGGAAUUCCGCGUGUAGCAGUGAAAUGCGUAGAUAUGCGGAGGAACACCGAUGGCGAAGGCAAUCCCCUGGGCCUGUACUGACGCUCAUGCACGAAAGCGUGGGGAGCAAACAGG
rnacentral:rRNA from 1 species